UCUCUCUCUCGGUUCAAGACAACCUUGCCGAUACAUGCCUAGAGACGUUCAUGCCAUUCAAGUCAUCCAGUACAGAUGCAACUGAACCCAGUGACUCCUUUAGGAAAUAGUGAAUCAGACAACAGCAGAGUUUCACUUCACUCACCCAUGUUGACAAAUCCAAUGUCCACGUAUAUCUUGGCACAGAGGGACCCCAGCAGGUAGCCAAACACUGGACCGAUGACUGAUAUUGUCUGGACACAUCCUGAUGCAGAUGGAUUAAACUGUAUAAACCGCCCUCAUAUAUGCGUACCAAUGUAGAAGGCUGCAUUUUCCUCCAAAGCGUGAUCGUCGAUGUAUGAGAUUCCUAGAGGUUGCACUGGGGUCUCGCCAAUUCCACGCAAGAUAUUCCCCAGGAAAACAUAGAUCCACAUGGACAACCUGGACUCGUGUUCGCAACCUGAGAAAGGGGGAAGAGAGGGUGAGAAGGCUUCUGCAAAUGAAGCAGUCGGUGCUUAUGUACCUGAGCUGGGUACUGAAGAAGUGCUUGGACCUGUGGACAGAACGCUAGCAGACCUCACUGGACACGGGGAGAGGUUGCUGGUUGAGUUCACUGACGAUCGAAUCGAUGUUUCAAACUUGUAGCUGCAUACAAAACAUCAACAAUUCAGCAAAAUUCAGAGACCAUGUCACCUGACACAACAAUAUGAUCCAGAUUAAUGAAACUUCCAAGUUUAACCGGUUCUACUGACCCGCUCCGAGCGGGACUUGAACCGUGGUCUCCGGUGUGAGAGUCGGGCGCUCUAACAAGGACCGCAGGAUCUAGUGUCAGUUGCUAGAGUGCCUCUUGUGAGGUUUACACAUACAGUUCUUAUAUGCCUACGACAGUUACGCUCGCCCCCCUAAACCUCACUCACAUCCGGCACCAAAUGUAACCGGUUCUACUGACCCGCUCCGAGCGGGACUUGAACCAUGGUCUCCGGUGUGGGAGUCAGGCGCUCUAACAAGGACCGCAGGAUCUAGUGUCAGUUGCUAGAAUGCCUCUUGUGAGGUUUACACGCACAAUUCUUACUGGCCUACGACAGUUACACUCACCCCCCUAAACCUCACUCACAUCCGGGUCACGGCACCAAAUGUAAACGGUUCUACUGACCCGCUCUGAGCGGGACUUGAACCAUGGUCUCCGGUGUGGGAGUCAGGCGCUCUAACAAGGACCGCAGGAUCUAGUGUCAGUUGCUAGAAUGCCUCUUGUGAGGUUUACACGCACAAUUCUUACUGGCCUACGACAGUUACACUCACCCCCCUAAACCUCACUCACAUCCGGGUCACGGCACCAAAUGUAAACGGUUCUACUGACCCGCUCCGAGCGGGACUUGAACCAUGGUCUCCGGUGUGGGAGUCAGGCGCUCUAACAAGGACCGCAGGAUCUAGUGCCAGUUGCUAGAAUGCCUCUUGUGAGGUUUACACGCACAAUUCUUACUGGCCUACGACAGUUACACUCACCCCCCUAAACCUCACUCACAUCCGGGUCACGGCACCAAAUGUAACCGGUUCUACUGACCCGCUCCGAGCAGGACUUGAACCGUGGUCUCCGGUGUGGGAGUCAGGCGCUCUAACAAGGAACCUAAAUGUUCAGAAUGAUUUUUUUUGUCAACUUUAAAUGGUAACACUUUAUUGAGAUGGUCUUCUUUUGACAUUCUACUAACUGU